UAAGCAGUCAUUUCAUUCAUAGCUCCUCUUCUUAUCAAAGCACAUCAGCAGGACCUCGUCCCCAACUGGCUGUGGUAUUGUUGAUUUUUAUUUUUUAAGGACUGCUACUGAUGGCCCCCACUACCAAACACUGUUGCAUCCCAGCGGAAAAGUCAAGAUCACCCCAGGACAUGAUUUCGCACAGGACAAUCCAGCUGUCGUCUUUGGUCAGAUAACCCGACGAUCUCGGACUGCACUGUUCCUCAGUCCCACCAAAGGCUCUGGCACAAUGGGUUGCUUCUAAUAAGGCCAAGAGGUUAAUGGGAUCACGCACCAGGAAUCCUCAGAAGCAGCUGGGAAGGAAGUGCAGAGCAGGGAGGCAGUGAGCUGCUGAUGGUGAUCAGCAAACAAGCUUGGAUGUUAUGACAGCUGAAGGAAGAGGAGCACUGGGUGUCAUACUCCUGCAGUAUGAAGCUGUGGUAAAACGUGGUAACGGCAGAUGAUGGAGUUUUCAGGUUGAAGGUGGCAGAAAGGCAGAAAAUUCUCUGUAGCCUGAGAUGGGAGUUCGUUUACCUCGCAAAGAGUGCUGAGACACAUCUGCUGCUUUUCAGCAACACCAUCUGGGCACGGAGGAUUUCAAAGAAAAGUGGAGUGCAUGAAUGUUUUCUUAUCUGUCAGCCUGCAGCGCCACCAGGCCAACAGAUAACACACAAGCGGACCGAGCACACACUCCUAAUUUUAUGCCAGUGACAGAUGAAUGGCCUCCAUAACAGCAGUUUGAUGGUGUGAUAAU